ACCCACCCCCACUCCAACACAGACUCCAUCCCCUGCCACACACAGAUGCCCCCUUCCCUCCCUAUCUCCUACACCAACACAGAGAGACUUUAUCCCUUCCAUUCUCUGCCCACCCCACAGCCUCUUUCUCUGUCCCCCAUUCCCUCCCUAUUAUUCACCCCAUCUCCAAGGCUCCAGAACCCCUCACCUAUCUCAUCCCACGCCCCCCCUUCCCAGAACUGGGAAGCCAGAGCUCUCUCCCCUUCUCCCUCCUCCCCUCUGCCUACUUCUCCCCUGCCUCCUCUCCCCCUCUCAAGGUAGCAAGAGGUAGAAUCUCCUUCCCUUCACUAAUCUCCCCCAGGGUGGAAAUAGAGCUCCCCUUCCCUUUUCUCCAAGCUAAAGGAUGUGGAAUCUUCUUGUUUCCCCGUUCCCAUUAUCAGGGAUUUUGUAACACGCUCCUCCCCACAGAAUCUGAGUACUCCACAGGCAUUAAAGGAUCCAUCUGCACAGCACCCCUAGGAGAGGACAAAACGCUUUGGUGAGGAUCUGCUGGACAGAUUUCACACAGCGCGUGAUGGAGGCGCCCUAGAAUGCCCCCAGCCCCUGGAAGCAGACUUUCAGCUCCAGCAGCCAGAACGGUAGCCCCAAGCAGCACAGAACAGAACCUCUGUCCAUCCCUGUACCUCUGCAAGCCUUGGGGAUCUCCAAAUACCACAAUGCCCUUGGUGGGUCAUCAGCCACGGGGAUUGAAUCCUGGACUCUCUGGACCUAAAAGCAGGAGCCUGUACAGCCUGAGCUAAAAGACCCAGAUCUAUGAGCUCAAAGGCUGUAGCAGAUUCAUAAACCUCCUUGUGGUCCUGCCAUGAGAGGGGGACAGAGCAAACCUGGGCUACACCUGGGCACGGGGACCAAAUUUUCUGAUACCUCUGAACACCUUGCCGGCAGAAGGGUACAAUGGAAAUUCCACCAGCCCUGUCCCCUAGCUGGGAGCUAUGUGCACAGAGAACACUAUGGCCCUAUGUUUGUAAAGCACGUUUUAGAUGCUUGGAUGGAAGAUGCAUGAAAAAUAUUUACUAACAGUCACACAUCAGUGUUGGAAAGCAAUUACGUUAAAAGUUACAUAGGAAAUCAGCAUCUAAAAUGUAACGUAGCUGUAGAGGAGAGGCUAUAUUUCAGCUAAAGCAACCUAUAUCCUGCCUAAGGUGCUUGAUCGAGAUGG